rnacentral:lncRNA from 1 species
AUGGCAAAUCACAAGCCUGGUGUGAUCAUAUAGGGAUGAUGAUUCCAACUGGUAGAGCUGUUCUGAGCAACUAGGAUAUGGAAAAUACUCACAAAUAAUGGGCAGAAGCAGCAACAGAUGCUGCUCAGGAACAGGGCCCCCGGGAGUGCCCACACCCCAUGCUCUCGGCUCCAGAGGCAUCACGUCAGAGUACAGGACUCUUCUUCAGGAUCGACAGCAUCAUUCUUUAAGACAAGGACAGCUCAAGUCAGCCUGCAAGGAGGAAAUUCCCAGUGAGAAGACUGAGGAGAUCACUGCAGGCAGUGCCUGGGUUAGCUUCCUGGAGAGCCACAACACACUGCACCAAGACAGCACCGUCUCCUACACUGAGCAUGUCUUCGAAAUAUCCCACUGCCACGACCUACUUGGGAUGAUGGUUAACCUGUGUGCUGAAGAUCUCCGAACAGGAUGGGAUGGACACCAAGCUAAGCAGUAUCUCUAGUGUGCCAAGAAGAACAAAGACACUAUUUGGUAGCCCUCUGAGGAAGAAAUCAUCAAAGUGGCUCCCCCAACAAA